rnacentral:rRNA from 1 species
CCUGGUGUCUCUGGCGGUGUGGCUCCACUCCGACCCAUCCCGAACUCGGACGUGAAACGCACCCGCGGCGAAGAUAGUGAGGGGGUCGCCCCUCGUUAAAAUAGCGCGAUGCCAGGU